GCGCGAUGAGGAUUGAUAACACAUACACACACUCUGAAGUUAUGUGAAGAGAUAAUUGAAGAACGGAUAUCUGAGCGC
rnacentral:snoRNA from 15 species